rnacentral:rRNA from 1 species
UACGAAGGGGGCUAGCGUUGCUCGGAAUCACUGGGCGUAAAGCGCACGUAGGCGGCUUCUUAAGUCAGGGGUGAAAUCCUGGAGCUCAACUCCAGAACUGCCUUUGAUACUGAGGAGCUUGAGUCCGGGAGAGGUGAGUGGAACUGCGAGUGUAGAGGUGAAAUUCGUAGAUAUUCGCAAGAACACCAGUGGCGAAGGCGGCUCACUGGCCCGGUACUGACGCUGAGGUGGCGAAAGCGUG